rnacentral:lncRNA from 1 species
UGGAAAGAUUCCGACUGGAGGCCUGGAAGAGAGCAGAAGCUAUUGAGAACAGUCCCAAGGCCUGCCAGUACAUAAUGGCCACAAAAAAGGAUGAGUCCAUGAACUCAUCAAUUCAAUUUCAAAAGAGUCAUGCUUCUUUAGGAGUCCAGGGAGAAAAAUAUAAGAAAAAGUAUUUGCCAGCACAAGGUAAGAGACUACAUGUUUCUUUUAUAUUUCAGAACAUAAUAGGUAAUUUGAGCUAAGCUUGGUGACAUGAGUUGUUACCCUAUCAGGCAGGAGGCUUACCACAGGUUCAGGGCCAAUCUGGUACUUGGUAAAGUGAGACUGGCUUGGUGAAAGGGAUGGGAAUAGGAGAGAGGAUUACAUUCAAGGAAUCAAACCAGAGUGAUCUUGAAGCCUCU